UACGGAGGGUGCGAGCGUUGUUCGGAAUCACUGGGCGUAAAGGGCGUGUAGGCGGUCCGCUAAGUCUGAUGUGAAAGCCCGGGGCUCACCCCCGGAAGGGCAUUGGAAACUGGCGGACUCGAGUCCCGGAGAGGAAGGUGGAAUUCCUGGUGUAGCGGUGAAAUGCGUAGAGAUGGGGGAGAACACUCGUGGCGAAGGCGGCCAGCUAGACCAGUUCUGACACUGAGGCGCGACAGCGUGGGGAGCAAACAGG
rnacentral:rRNA from 1 species